rnacentral:snRNA from 1 species
GUGCUCGUUUUUGGCAGCACAUACACUAAAAUUGGAAUGUUAGAGAACACUGGCAAAGCCCCUGCACAACGAUGACGUGCAAAUUUGUGAUGUGUUCCAUAUUUUU